AUUGAACGCUGGCGGCAUGCCUUACACAUGCAAGUCGAACGGUAACAGGUCUUCGGAUGCUGACGAGUGGCGAACGGGUGAGUAAUACAUCGGAACGUGCCCAGACGUGGGGGAUAACGAGGCGAAAGCUUUGCUAAUACCGCAUACGAUCUAAGGAUGAAAGCAGGGGACCGCAAGGCCUUGCGCGUUUGAGCGGCCGAUGGCAGAUUAGGUAGUUGGUGGGAUAAAAGCUUACCAAGCCGACGAUCUGUAGCUGGUCUGAGAGGACGACCAGCCACACUGGGACUGAGACACGGCCCAGACUCCUACGGGAGGCAGCAGUGGGGAAUUUUGGACAAUGGGCGAAAGCCUGAUCCAGCAAUGCCGCGUGCAGGAUGAAGGCCUUCGGGUUGUAAACUGCUUUUGUACGGAACGAAAAGGCUCUGGCUAAUACCUGGGGCACAUGACGGUACCGUAAGAAUAAGCACCGGCUAACUACGUG
rnacentral:rRNA from 1 species